GACGAACGCUGGCGGCGUGCUUAACACAUGCCAGUCGAACGGAAAGGCCCUGCUUUUGUGGGGUUCUCGAGUGCGGAACGGGGGAGUAACACGUGAGUAACCUGCCCUUGUCUUUCGGAUAACUUCAGGAAACUGGGGCUAAUACCGGAUAGGAUAUCCUGCUGCAUGGUGGGGGGUGGAAAGUUUCGGCGGUUGGGGAUGGACUCGCGGCUUAUGAGCUUGUUGGUGGGGUAGUUGCUUACCAAGGCUGUGACGGAUAGCCGGCCUGGGAGGGGGACCGGGCACCAGAGUCCUAAGAGAGGCAGCAGUGUGGAAUAGGAGGCAGCGGGCGGAAGUAUGACACAGUGAGCGGGAGUGUGUGACGAAGGCGCCGGGUGCGUGAAGCCGGCUUGUGGGUUGAGAACAGCUUUCGCCUGAGACGAAGCGUGAGUGACGGUAAUGAAUAAAGAAGCACCGGCUAACUACGUG
rnacentral:rRNA from 1 species